UUCUGGUUGAUCCUGCCGGACCCGACUGCUAUCGGAUUGAGACUAAGCCAUGCGAGUCAACCCGCAAGGGUGGCGGACGGCUCAGUAACACGUAGUGAACCUGCCCUGGGGACGUGGACAACCAUGGGAAACUGUGGCUAAACCGCGAUAGGUCAUUGUUUCUGGAAUGGGCAAUGGCUCAAACCUACAUGGCCCCAGGAUGGCACUGCGGCCGAUCAGGUUGUUGGUGAGGUAAUGGCCCACCAAGCCUGUAACCGGUACGGGCUCUGAGAGGAGGAGCCUGGAGAUGGGCACUGAGACAAGGGCCCAGGUCCUAUGGGACGCAGCAGGCGCGAAACCUUCGCAAUAGGCGAAAGCCUGACGAGGUUAUUCCGAGUGUUCCCUGCUAAAGGGAUCUUUUGCCAGCUCUAAAAAUGCUGGUGAAUAAGGGGUGGGCAAGCCUGGUGUCAGCCGCCGCGGUAAUACCAGCACCCCGAGUGGUCGGGAUGAUUAUUUGGCCUAAAGCAUCCGUAGCCGGCGCAUCAAGUCUUCCGUUAAAUCCACCUGCUCAACAGAUGGGUUGCGGGAGAUACUGCUGCGCUAGGAGGCGGGAGAGGCGAGGGGUAUUCCAUGGGUAGGGGUAAAAUCCUCUGAUCCAUGGAGGACCACCAGUGGCGAAGGCGUCUCGCCAGAACGCGCUCGACGGUGAGGGAUGAAAGCUGGGGGAGCAAACCGGAUUAGAUACCCGGGUAGUCCCAGCUGUAAACGAUGUAGGCUCGGUGAUGGACUGGAUUCGAUCCAGCCCAGUGCCGCAGGGAAGCCGUUAAGCCUACCGCCUGGGGAGUACGGUCGCAAGACUGAAACUUAAAGGAAUUGGCGGG
rnacentral:rRNA from 1 species